UACGUAGGGUGCGAGCGUUAAUCGGAAUUACUGGGCGUAAAGCGUGCGCAGGCGGUUCUCCAAGUCCGUUGUGAAAUCCCCGGGCUUAACCUGGGAACUGCGUUUGAAACUACAAGGCUAGAGUGUGGCAGAGGGGGGUGGAAUUCCACGGUGUAGCAGUGAAAUGCGUAGAGAUGUGGAGGAACACCGAUGGCGAAGGCAGCCCCCUGGGUUAACACCUGGACGCUCAGGCACGAAAGCGUG
rnacentral:rRNA from 1 species